AUUGAACGCUGGCGGCAGGCCUAACACAUGCAAGUCGAACGAGGGGCGGACGGGUGUGUAAUGUAUGGGAAACUGCCCGAUGGAGGGGGAUAACUACUGGAAACGGUAGCUAAUACCGCAUACCAUCGGAUGUGCCCAGAUGGGAUUAGCUUGUAGGUGGGGUAACGGCUUACCUAGGCGACGAUCCCGAGCUGGUCUGAGAGGAUGACCGGCCCCACUGGACCUGGGACACGGUCCAGCCUCCUACGGUAGGCAGCAGGGGGAAGUAUGGCACAAUGGGCGAACGCCGGGUGCAGCCAUGCCGCGUGUAUGAAGAAGGCCUGCGGGUUGUAAAGUACUUUCAGCGAGGAGGCGUUACUCACAGAAGAAGCACCGGCUAACUCCGUGCCAGCAGCCGCGGUAAUAC
rnacentral:rRNA from 1 species